AUGUGGUGUUGCCAGCAGAACAAGUCGGAGAAUCGCGCUUGCACCCGCUGUGGAGAGAUAGGGCACAGUACCAGUACACAUGGUCUCAGUUGCUCAAGCUGUGACGAGUAUCAUGAGGAUGGAGAGUGCCGAUUGGGCGGUGUUAAAUGCUUUCUUUGUGAGUGUCAGGAUCAUUAUCUUGCUAAGUGCCCCUUGAAUUCAGUAUUGACUGAGGCAUUUCAGAGUCAGAGAGAGAACUUCCAAGCUGCUCUGCGGCUUGCACUAUCAAAACAACGCGACCCAUCAUCUACACCUCCCAAGUGUUCCGCAAAAUCAGAAGGAAAAGUACUGGCCGCCAACAAGCCUAAAUCGAUUGUCCGAUGUGUAAGGUGUGGUGAGGAAGGGCACAGGCGCAAGAAGUGUCCGUUGAAACAUCAAUCGUAG
rnacentral:rRNA from 1 species